UACGUAGGGUGCAAGCGUUGUCCGGAAUUAUUGGGCGUAAAGAGCUCGUAGGCGGUGUGUCGCGUCGGCCGUGAAAACCUGCAGCUCAACUGUGGGCUUGCGGUCGAUACGGGCAUCACUGGAGUUCGGCAGGGGAGACUGGAAUUCCUGGUGUAGCGGUGAAAUGCGCAGAUAUCAGGAGGAACACCGGUGGCGAAGGCGGGUCUCUGGGCAGUAACUGACGCUGAGGAGCGAAAGCGUGGGGAGCGAACAGG
rnacentral:rRNA from 1 species